AGAGCCAAGUACCACAAGUUGAAAUAUGGGACAGAGUUGAAUCAGGGAGAUACGAAGCCUCCAAGCUAUGAUUCUGAUGAAGGUAAUGAAACAGAGGUGCAACCACAACAAAACAGCCAGUUAAUGUGGAAACAAGGUCGACAACUUCUCAGACAGUAUCUCCAGGAGGUGGUUACACAGAUACUAUUCUAGAUGUGAAAUCUAAACGAGUGCGAGCUUUGUUGGGCUUUUCAAGUGAUGUCACUGACAGAGAAGAUGACAAAAAUCAGGACUCAGUUAUAAAUGGCACGGAGGCUGAAGUUAAAGAGACGGCAAUGAUUGGAAAAUCCGAGUUAACAGAUUCUGCCUCGGUGCUGGAUAAUUUCAAAUUCCUUGAAAAUGCAGCUGCUGAUUUCAGUGAUGAAGAUGAAGAAGAUGAUAUUGAGGGAAGAGAGAAAAGUGUCAUCGAUACU